rnacentral:rRNA from 1 species
CAGCCGCCGCGGGAAUACGGAGGGUGCAAGCGUUAAUCGGAAUUACUGGGCGUAAAGCGCACGCAGGCGGUCUGACAAGUCAGAUGUGAAAUCCCCGGGCUUAACCUGGGAACUGCAUUUGAAACUGUCAGGCUGGAGUCUUGUAGAGGGGGGUAGAAUUCCAGGUGUAGCGGUGAAAUGCGUAGAGAUCUGGAGGAAUACCGGUGGCGAAGGCGGCCCCCUGGACAAAGACUGACGCUCAGGUGCGAAAGCGUGGGGAGCAAACAGGAUUAGAUACCCGCGUAGUCCCUGUCUCUUAUAC